CAGACCAAGGCCCUAUUUGAGCAGAGAAUCUUAACCAUAUUUAUGGAGUAAGUGAAUAAUUCGGAGGCAAAAUAGAAAGAUGUCUAAAAAAUUUUAUUUUUGUUAAAAAAAUUAGUUAUUCAAUUAUAAGUAAGUAAAGAUUAUAAUCGUUUGCGAGUCCACUACCCAUAUCCACCGCAUCCCACCUAAGCGGAGCGUAGGCCCCUUGGACCGAGCCAAAACCCAUGAAGCUGGAGCUUUAUUAAUCAAGCUUGAAGUGAGGACACCGACAUCUCUCACGGUGGUCUACAAAUUAGUCUUAAAGAUAUAAAGUUAAUUGAUUGCUAUAGUGGCAUAUCUAAAGUUGGAUUAUACAUUAAACGUUGAAUGUUCGAUAAAAGAAGCUAGUGAUUAUAAAAUCAUUAAGGGAUUAUUCAUGUCAGUCUCUAUACAAUGUGUUCAGUAGAUCUAAUAAAAGUAGCAAUACAAAUGCUGCCAGUAUACUACAAAUAUCUAAUAGAGUAUCUAAAUUGA
rnacentral:lncRNA from 1 species